CCUACGGGAGGCAGCAGUGGGGAAUAUUGCGCAAUGGGCGAAAGCCUGACGCAGCGACGCCGCGUGAGGGAUGAAGGUCUUCGGAUCGUAAACCUCUGUCAGCAGGGAAGAACGGUCACUGUGCUAAUCAGCAGUGAAUUGACGGUACCUGCAAAGGAAGCACCGGCUAACUCCGUGCCAGCAGCCGCGGUAAUACGGAGGGUGCGAGCGUUAAUCGGAAUUACGGGGCGUAAAGCGCUCGUAGGCGGUAUGUCAAGUCAAGGGUGAAAUCCCCGCGCUCAACGUGGGGACUUCCGUUGAAACUGGCAAACUGGAUAGUGUGAGAGGAUAGUGGAAUUCCUAGUGUAGGAGUGAAAUCCGUAGAUAUCUGGAGGAACAUCAGUGGCGAAGGCGACUAUCUGGCACAUAACUGACGCUGAGGAGCGAAAGCGUGGGUAGCAAACAGGAUUAGAUACCCUGGUAGUC
rnacentral:rRNA from 1 species